AGCGAACGUUAGCGGCGCGCCUAACACAUGCAAGUCGCACGAGAAAAGGGGCAACCCCGAGUAAAGUGGCGCACGGGUGCGUGACACGUAGGCAAACUCCCUCCGGGAGGGGGAUAACUACCCGAAAGGGUGGCUAAUACCGCGUAAGACCACGGUGACUUCGGUCACAGCGGUCAAAGGUGGCCUCUGCAUGCAAGCCACCACCUGGAGAUGUGCCUGCGGCCCAUCAGCUUGUUGGCGGGGUAACGGCCCACCAAGGCUAAGACGGGUAGCUGGUCGGAGGGGACGAACAGCCACACUGGCACUGGAACACGGGCCAGACUCCUACGGGAGGCAGCAGUGGGGAAUCUUGGACAAUGGGCGCAAGCCUGAUCCAGCGACGCCGCGUGGGUGAUGAAGGCCUUCGGGUCGUAAAGCCCUGUUGGAGAGGGAAGAAAACAGUGCGUUCGAACAGGACGCGCUCUUGACGGUACCUCUUCAGAAAGCACCGGCUAACUCUGUGCCAGCCGCCGCCGUAAGAC
rnacentral:rRNA from 1 species